GAUGAACGCUGGCGGCGUGCCUAAUACAUGCAAGUCGAGCGAAUGGAUUGAGAGCUUGCUCUUAUGAAGUUAGCGGCGGACGGGUGAGUAACACGUGGGUAACCUGCCCAUGAGACUGGGAUAACUCCGGGAAACCGGGGCUAAUACCGGAUAACAUUUUGAACCGCAUGGUUCGAAAUUGAAAGGCGGCUUCGGCUGUCACUUCUGGAUGGACCCGCGUCGCAUUAGCUAGUUGGUGAGGUAACGGCUCACCAAGGCAACGAUGCGUAGCCGACCUGAGAGGGUGAUCGGCCACACUGGGACUGAGACACGGCCCAGACUCCUACGGGAGGCAGCAGUAGGGAAUCUUCCGCAAUGGACGAAAGUCUGACGGAGCAACGCCGCGUGAGUGAUGAAGGCUUUCGGGUCGUAAAACUCUGUUGUUAGGGAAGAACAAGUGCUAAUUGAAUAAGCUGGCACCUUGACGGUACCUAACCAGAAAGCCACGGCUAACUACGUGCCAGCAGCCGCAGUAA
rnacentral:rRNA from 1 species